rnacentral:rRNA from 1 species
CUACGGGUUGCAGCAGACGAGAAAACUUUGCAAUGUGCGAAAGCACGACAAGGUUAAUCCGAGUGGUUUCUGCUAAAGGAACCUUUUGUCGGUCCUAGAAACACCGAUGAAUAAGGGGUGGGCAAGUUCUGGUGUCAGCCGCCGCGGUAAAACCAGCACCUCAAGUGGUCAGGAUGAUUAUUGGGCCUAAAGCAUCCGUAGCCGGCUCUGUAAGUUUUCGGUUAAAUCUGUACGCUUAACGUACAGGCUGCCGGGAAUACUGCAUAGCUAGGGAGUGGGAGAGGUAGACGGUACUCGGUAGGAAGGGGUAAAAUCCUUUGAUCUAUUGAUGACCACCUGUGGCGAAGGCGGUCUACCAGAACACGUCCGACGGUGAGGGAUGAAAGCUGGGGGAGCAAACCGGAUUAGAUACCCUUGUAGUC